GCCUGAGAAAUAUCCGGAUCUUUUCUCCUCACACUCCUAAGACUCUUGCAUGUUUGGGCACCAGAGGCUGGAGAUUAAUGGGCUUUGUGACGUCUGAGCUGGAGGAACUGGAAGGGUGCUUCCAGUUGCCUGGCCUGGCCCUCAAGGAUUUACAUGUUAGAGAUACAUCCUUCAAGCCCAUUCUCUGGGCUCUUUGGUAUGACCCAGGAAUGCUCAUAAAACUAUC